rnacentral:rRNA from 2 species
GUGCGAGACCGAUAGCGAACAAGUACCGUGAGGGAAAGAUGAAAAGAACUUUGAAAAGAGAGUUAAAGAGUACCUGAAACUGCUGAAAGGGAAGCGAAUCGUAUCCAGUGUCUAUAAUCUGCGGCAUAUUUCAUUGGCGGCGGAGCGCGUGCUUUUGCGUCGGAAGCGGCUUUUGUUGCUCUGUGCUUUUGCUGUGCGUGGUGUUGCUGGUGCCCUGUGUUGCGGUGGGACGUCAGAGUCAGUUUGUAUGCUGCGGGAAAUGGCUGCCGAGGAGGUAGGUCGAGAUUUCGGUCUUGGCUGUUAUAUCUUGGUGGUUUGUUGUCGUGGUUGAGACUGAGGUGCCUACAAUGUGCUUUUGAGUGCGCCGGGUUCUCAUUUGGUGGACUGUUUGGAUAGCUUGCUAUGCUUGUGGUUUUUUCAUCGGGUGAUUGAGUCUGGUGGUAACUUGUUGCUGUUCGGGACUUUGAA